UAAAAUGUUUUUAUUUGAGUAUUAAUAAUUUUUUGAAGGAUCAGUUUAUUAUUGCAGUCCAUCAAAUAGUACCAGAAUUCAUAUAUUUUAGGGAAAAAAAAAAAGUAUAAAUUAUUGAAUUAUAUUUUUUUUAAAAAAAAUUACUGUACUUAAUAGGUCCUCCCAAAGAACAGGGACAUUUUAUAAAUUCAACAGCCAUUUGCCAUGUAUAUAUAUAUAUAUAUAGAUUUAAAUAUACAAAUAAUUUGAAUGCCAUCUCUAACUCCAAUUAUUGUUGGGAAUCCUGCUGCUUGCCUUCUAUUUUCCUUUUGUCUUAUUUCUAAUGGGGGCUGAGCCUUCCGUGGAACCAGUCCCUCUCUUUUGUCAUUUUCCCUCCUUGUUAGGUUGUACGGGUCGCUUAGCCCAUAACUAAUCCACUUUCGGUUGUUCUUUGCCCUUCCAUUUAGGUAGGAGUCCAAUAAGUAAUCAUAAAUUUUGGGCUUUAUUUGCCAAUGCACUCAGGUAUAAACCAACCACAGAUUUUAUAUUCCCACAGUUGAAUAUGCUACAUAUACCAAUCCAUUACCUGACUAGCAAAGCAUAUCUGAAGUUCUGUACCAGGUAUGACUGACGCUAAUAUGUUGUAAUUGUUUUAACCACUCAAUAAUUUCUUACAGACUUGGACAAAUACAUUGACUUUGGAGAGCAGG
rnacentral:lncRNA from 1 species